rnacentral:rRNA from 1 species
GCCUGCAGCCAAACCAGAUCUGCCUGUGAUCUUGUCAGGUUUCACAAGGUAAGCAGUGUCAGGCCUGGUUAGUACAUAAAUGGGAGACCUCCGGGGGGAAGUAAUAUCCUGAUGUUGCAGGAU